rnacentral:rRNA from 1 species
UACGGGGGGAGCAAGCGUUGUUCGGAUUUACUGGGCGUAAAGGGCGCGUAGGCGGCCACGACAAGUCACUUGUGAAAUCUCCGGGCUUAACUCGGAAAGGUCAAGUGAUACUGUCGGGCUAGAGUACAGAAGGGGCAACUGGAAUUCUCGGUGUAGCGGUGAAAUGCGUAGAUAUCGAGAGGAACACCAGUGGCGAAAGCGGCCACCUGGACUGCACCUGACGCUGACACGCGAAAGCUAGGGGAGCGAACGGG